CCGAGUUGGUGGAACAAUCACUUCGCUGGGACGCUGGAAGCAAGGGUGGGGAGUUCGAUUCCUGGAGUUAACACUGGGAGCCAUAUGGAGAGGAAUCCAUUGGUGUGAACAAACGCCCAGUGAGGAGAGCUCUCUUUGCUGAAGGAGUCCAAAUGAGUUGUGAGAACCUGGGAGCCAAUAAGGACACAUCCUGCGAUUUACCUCCCUGGGCUGCUGAGGGGCCGGAGGUUCAGGGACAAGGAUCUAG
rnacentral:lncRNA from 1 species